rnacentral:rRNA from 1 species
GAUGAACGCUGGCGGCAGGCCUAAUACAUGCAAGCCAAGGGCUGAUUGGUGUCGCAAUACGUCUAACAAACGGCGUACGGGUUCGUAACGCGUAUGCAACCCACCCCAUACAGGAGGGUAGCCUUCGGAAACGUGGAUUAAUACUCCAUAAGAAUGUUUAGCGGCAUCUUUAGGCAAUUAAAGCCUCAACGCGGUAUAGGAUGGGCGUGCGUCGGAUUAGCUAGGUGGUGAGGUGACGGCUCAACGAGGCGAGGAUCGGUAGGGGUUCUGAGAGUAAGAGGCCCGACAGGGGCACUGAGACACGUGCCCCAGUCAUACGGGACGCAGCAGUACGGGAGAUAGGACAAGGGGUGAAUGCCUGAUGCAGCCAUGCCGCGUGCAGGAAGAAGGCGCUCUGGAUUGUAAACUGCGUUUGAGAGGGAGAAAUAGGGGCGAUGCGUCGCUCGAUGAUAGUACUUCGCAAAUAAGCAUCGGCUAACUUCGUG